CGCUGAGCCUCAGGAGGAUAUUCCAAGAUUGCAAACUUACCUAACAUUUCCUUCACAGAAUCAAAGCAUGCAAAUGGGCUCUGGGUGCUGUUGCCAUUUACUGUGGGGACCAAUUUUUUUUUCUAUUUUUUUUUUCUAUCAGGCAGCACCUGCCUCUCUAUUCAGAGAUGCCUGCGUGCAAGGCUGAAUGCAAACAACAAAGGCUUCGACUGUGGCAGAGGCUGCGUGAUUUUCUUGGACCUUGCCAUUAUGUUUCAGGUCAGAGAUUGAGGUCCACAGCACAGGGACCUUUUAAUAUCAGGGUGAGGCCUGUCCCUCGAAGCGUGCCCCUACCACAUUCACACCUGUUCUGGAAACAAACUCCACUGGCCCUGGACUAAAGUCUCAGAUCCCUGAGAGCCUUUGUGAAGACCACAGGGGAGCUGGUGCAUCAUCCCAUGGCCACCGCUGAGGACUCAGCCACUCCUUCCUCCACAUCCUGCUUCCCCUCACCUAUGAGCUCCUACUUUUGUUCAGUUGCCCAGGCUAGGCUCAAACUUGCAGUCCUCCUGCCUCAGCCUCCCAGAUGUG
rnacentral:lncRNA from 1 species